rnacentral:rRNA from 1 species
UACGUAGGGUGCAAGCGUUGUCCGGAAUUAUUGGGCGUAAAGAGCUCGUAGGCGGUCUGUCGCGUCGAUCGUGAAAACUUGGGGCUUAACCCUGAGCUUGCGGUCGAUACGGGCAUGACUGGAGUUCGGCAGGGGAGACUGGAAUUCCUGGUGUAGCGGUGAAAUGCGCAGAUAUCGGGAGGAACACCUAUGGCGAAGGCAGCUCGCUGGGACGUUACUGACGCUGAGACGCGAAAGCGUGGGGAGCAAACAGG